rnacentral:misc_RNA from 1 species
CUAAUAUAUCCGCUAUACGCACACAUGUCUGUGGGUGCAUGUGUUCUUGGGGCCUUUCUUGCUCGGAUAUGAACUGGGUUACAGAGAAACAACAAGAAAACCAAGAAAGCAAACGGCAACAACUUAAACAAGAAACAGAGAUAUUCUAGUUCUUGGUUUCUUCGUAUCCAUGGCUGGGAAGCUACAGCAGAUCCACCACCAACAUCACCACCACCACCACCACUCUGUAGCUGUC